GCCAGGGUAUUACGAGCUUAAGCUUAAAACCCAAAGGACUUGACGGUGUCCCACCCACCUAGAGGAGCCUGUUCUAUAAUCGAUACCCCCCGCUAUACCUCACCAUUUUUAGCCCUUCAGCCUGUAUACCUCCGUCGUAAGCCUACCAUGUGAACGCCCUUAGUAAGCCCAAAGGUUACCCCACCAACACGUCAGGUCAAGGUGCAGCUCAUAAAAUGGAAAGCAAUGGGCUACAAUUUCUAACCUAGAACAAACGAAAGACUACAUGAAACCUAGUCAUGAAGGCGGAUUUAGCAGUAAAAAGAAAAUAGUGUGUUCUUUUUAACUAGGCACUGGGACGCGU
rnacentral:rRNA from 1 species